UUUUCUGUUCAUUACCAGUUGAAGAUGUUGUUUUAUCGGAAUCUAAAAAACUAUUGAUUAGACUGUGUAAUGAAGUUCAUAGGCAAGAGUUUGAAUCAUUCAAAAAUAAUACGAAAGGAAUUAUUAUCUGCACCUUCUGAGGUAGUUGAGGCCUGAUAGUGACUUUGAAGGCAAGUGACAAAUUGGAUUGCAAAAAUGAAGCUGGAAAUCAGUAUGAUUUUAUAUCCCGUUACUUUGCACCCUGGUUGGGGGUAGCUGAGGACCCAGUUACUGGUUCUGCUCAUUCAGUGCUUGCUCCAUAUUGAUCUAAAACUCUACAACAGAAUUCGUUUUAUGGUAUGUAAAAU